AGAGUUUGAUCCUGGCUCAGGAUGAACGCUAGCGGCAGGCUUAACACAUGCAAGUCGAGGGGUAACGAUUUCGAGUAAUCGAGAGGCGACGACCGGCGCACGGGUGAGUAACGCGUAUGCAACCUACCUCUAACUGGAGCAUAGGUCCCGGAAACGGGAAUUAAUACUCCAUAAUAUUCUGAAUUCGCAUGUUUUCAGGAUUAAAGUUCCGGCGGUUAGAGAUGGGCAUGCGUGACAUUAGUUUGUUGGUGAGGUAACGGCUCACCAAGACUACGAUGUCUAGGGGGUCUGAGAGGAUGGUCCCCCACACUGGUACUGAGACACGGACCAGACUCCUACGGGAGGCAGCAGUGAGGAAUAUUGGGCAAUGGACGCAAGUCUGACCCAGCCAUGCCGCGUGCAGGAUGACUGCCCUAUGGGUUGUAAACUGCUUUUAUUUGGGAAGAAACCCCCGGACGUGUCCGGGGCUGACGGUACCAAAAGAAUAAGCAUCGGCUAACUCCGUGCCAGCAGCCGCGGUAAUACGGAGGAUGCCAGCGUUAUCCGGAUUUAUUGGGUUUAAAGGGUGCGCAGGCGGGAAAUUAAGUCAGUGGUGAAAUCCUACAGCUUAACUGUAGAACUGCCAUUGAUACUGAUUUUCUUGAGUGCAGUUGAGGUAGGCGGAAUGUGUAAUGUAGCGGUGAAAUGCUUAGAUAUUACACAGAACACCGAUUGCGUAGGCAGCUUACUAAACUGUUACUGACGCUCAGGCACGAAAGCGUGGGGAGCAA
rnacentral:rRNA from 1 species